CUACGGGUCGCUCCAGUGGGGAAUAUUGCACAAUGGGGGAAACCCUGAUGCAGCAACGCCGCGUGGAGGAUGACGCAUUUCGGUGUGUAAACUCCUUUUAUAUAGGAAGAUAAUGACGGUACUAUAUGAAUAAGCACCGGCUAACUCCGUGCCAGCAGCCGCGGUAAUACGGAGGGUGCAAGCGUUACUCGGAAUCACUGGGCGUAAAGCGCGCGCAGGCGGUCUGAUAAGUUGGAUGUGAAAGCCUACGGCUCAACCGUAGAACUGCAUCCAAAACUGUCAGACUAGAGUCUGGGAGGGGAAGAUGGAAUUAGUUGUGUAGGGGUAAAAUCCGUAGAGAUAACUAGGAAUACCAAAAGCGAAGGCGAUCUUCUGGAACAGUACUGACGCUGAGGCGCGAAAGCGUGGGGAGCAAACAGGAUUAGAUACCCCAGUAGUC
rnacentral:rRNA from 1 species